rnacentral:rRNA from 1 species
AGAGUUUGAUCCUGGCUCAGGAUGAACGCUGGCGGCGUGCUUAAUACAUGCAAGUCGAACGGAGAUAGUAGCAAUAUUAUCUUAGUGGCGAACGGGUGAGUAACGCGUUGGUGACCUGCCCCGAAGAGAGGGAUAGCAGUUCGAAAGGACUGAUAAUACCCCAUGUGGUUGUCGGUUUUAGAAUCUGAUAACUAAACGGCGAAAGUCGCUUCGGGAGGGGCCUGCGUCCCAUCAGCUAGUUGGUAGGGUAAUGGCCUACCAAGGCUAUGACGGGUAGGGGACCUGAGAGGGUGGCCCCCCACAAUGGAACUGAAACACGGUCCAUACACCUACGGGUGGCAGCAGUAGGGAAUAUUGGUAAUGUGCGAAAGCGCGAACCAGCAACGCCGCGUGCACGAUGAAGGCCUUCGGGUCGUAAAGUGCUUUUAGAGAGGAUGAGGAAGGACAGUACUUUCUGAAUAAGCCUCGGCUAACUACGUGCCAGCAGCCGCGGUAAAACGUAGGAGGCAAGCGUUAUCCGGAUUUACUGGGCGUAAAGCGCAUGCAGGUGGUUUUGUAAGUUGGAUGUGAAAGCUCCUGGCUUAACUGGGAGAGGUCGUUCAAAACUACAAGACUUGAGAUUGGUAGAGGAAGGUGGAAUUCCGGGUGUAGUGGUGAAAUGCGUAGAUAUCCGGAGGAACACCAGUGGCGAAAGCGGCCUUCUGGACCAAUUCUGACACUCAGAUGCGAAAGCUAAGGUAGCAAACGGGAUUAGAGACCCCGGUAGUCUUAGCUGUAAACUAUGUGAACUUGGCGUCGGUGGGUUCAAAUCCAUCGGUGCCGAAGCAAACGCGAUAAGUUCACCGCCUGGGGACUACGGCCGCAAGGUUAAAACUCAAAGGAAUUGACGG